UUGACCUCGGAUCAGGUAGGAAUACCCGCUGAACUUAAGCAUAUCAAUAAGCGGAGGAAAAAAAAA
rnacentral:rRNA from 1 species